AUACGGAGGAUGCAAGCGUUAUCCGGAUUUAUUGGGUUUAAAGGGUGCGUAGGCGGUUUGCUAAGCGGGAGGUGAAAUGCCGGCGCUCAACGUCGGAAGUGCCUCCCGAACUGGUGGACUUGAAUGACUCUGCCGUGGGAGGAAUGUGUAGUGUAGCGGUGAAAUGCUUAGAGAUUACACAGAACACCGAUUGCGAAGGCAUCUCACGAAGGGUUGAUUGACGCUGAGGCACGAAAGCGUGGGGAUCAAACAGGAUUAGAUACCCUGGUAGUCCACGCAGUAAACGAUGAUGACUAACCGUCGGCGAUACACAGUCGGUGGCCAAGCGAAAGCGAUAAGUCAUCCACCUGGGGAGUACGUUCGCAAGAAUGAAACUCAAAGGAAUUGACGGGG
rnacentral:rRNA from 1 species